rnacentral:rRNA from 1 species
GACGAACGCUGGCGGCGUGCUUAACACAUGCAAGUCGAACGAAAAGAGGGAAAGAGCUUGCUCUUUCCGGAAUUGAGGGGCAAACGGGUGAGUAACACGUAAACAACCUGCCUUCAGGAUGGGGACAACAGACGGAAACGACUGCUAAUACCGAAUAAGUUCCAAGGGCCGCAUGGCCCAUGGAAGAAAAGGUGGCCUCUACCUGUAAGCUAUCGCCUGAAGAGGGGUUUGCGUCUGAUUAGCUGGUUGGAGGGGUAACGGCCCACCAAGGCGACGAUCAGUAGCCGGUCUGAGAGGAUGAACGGCCACACUGGAACUGAGACACGGUCCAGACUCCUACGGGAGGCAGCAGUGGGGAAUCUUCCGCAAUGGGCGAAAGCCUGACGGAGCAACGCCGCGUGAGUGAUGACGGCCUUCGGGUUGUAAAACUCUGUGAUCCGGGACGAAAAGGCAGAGUGCGAAGAACAAACUGCAUUGACGGUACCGGAAAAGCAAGCCACGGCUAACUACGUG